UAAUAUGGUCAGGGGCAUUGGCGCCUCAUCCGUCCAUAUGUUCAUGAUCUUCUCUCCCCACCGCCCAUCGGCCCGAUGUGCUUCCGUCGAAUAGAGAGAUGGGAAGCUAUGGGAACAUCCGAUAUAUUCACGAUCUUCUCUUUCCACCGCCCACCGGGCCCGAUGUCCUACCGGCCCGAUGUCCUCCCAUCGAAGAGGGGAUGGGAAGAAAGGGAUUCGACUGAGUGGGG
rnacentral:lncRNA from 1 species